UGCCAUUCUCUCAUUCUCCCAUAGAAAGCUAAUUUUCUUUCAUUUUCUUUCCUUGUUUUCUUUUCAUUUCUUUUCUCUCCUUGCUUCUUUCUUCUCCCAACUUCUUGUGCACCGAAGUUACAACUUCUAACCCCAAUUUCCAGCACAUAUAAACUCUAGGAGAAGAAGAAAGAAAAAGAGAGAAAGGAAGAAAAAGAUUGAUUUUGGUGAUUCAAGCAAGUAAAGGUAAGGAUUCUUGUUUUUGGCUUGAGUAGUCUUUGAAAAUGAGUUAGUGACUUCAAGAAAUGUCUUGUGGCAGCAAAGAUUGACUUGAUUUGAGAAAAAUUGGUAACAUAUAAGCCAAUAAACCCAUGGGUACAUGAAGGACUCAAAGUGGAAAAGGAAAACGGUAAGCUUAACACUAUGUUUUAAAGCCUACGGUUAGUUGAAUAUUGUGAGGAAUUAAGGUUGCUGAAAGGAUCUAUUUUCCUAAGCUACUUGAAAAUUAUUAAGAUUGUAUGGCAUGUUUUUUGAAAGAAAUAAAAAAGGAAUAUUAUGGAUGGAGGAUUGAGAAACAAAGUAUUGAAAGUUAGAUAGAUAACGAUGCAUAUAAACUAGGAAAUAAUCGAGUGAAAGUGAGAAUGAUUGUUGCUGCCAUAUAUGUGGAUUAUGUGUGGAAAUAUAAGACGAAUUUGAAUGAAAAUGGCUAGAAAAGGUUAAUAUGGGUGCUAGAGUCAUAAUUAAGUUGCAUGUAAUUUUAAUUUGAAGAAUUACACAAGUAAAGGAUAAAAGCAACUUUGGUAAAAAUGUGUCGAGAUGUAGGUUAGUUGAAUAAGGAUUCGUGAUUGAAGGGAAAAGAGAAGUAGGAAUGAUGUACACUAAAGGUAUUGCAUUUGUAUUAUUGCUAGGAAGUGCAAAGGUAAAGUUAGAGUAUUGUGGUGGUGUACCGGAGGAAAUAACGAGCGACCGACAAGUAGGAAUAGCUUGAUACACC
rnacentral:lncRNA from 1 species